rnacentral:lncRNA from 1 species
GCAAGCAUUACAGAUUCAUGUUGACUUUGUAAACCAAAUCGGCAACUCCGCAUCCAUGUGAACGACGAAGGACGUUUGUUUCCUAGCACUGCGUGCUAAGCUAUCCACCCGUUUAUUCUCCAUUCGGGGAACAUGAACGAUGUCUGAGUUUAGAAAACUUCCUUUCAAAAGCUCAAUAUCUUCUAAGUAGCUUUCAAAUGCUGGCCAUCCCUCUGGUUCCGAAACCAUCUUCACCAGCUGAGAACAAUCCGUUGCAAAUGUUACUUGAGAUUGUCUUAAGUUGUUCAUACAUUCCAUUUCCCAAAUUAAUGCUUCCACCUCCGAAUGCAGGGGUGAAAGACUUGCCCUGACAUUCCUUGCCCCUAAUAAACCAUCAAAACCCGGUAAAGUACUAUACAAGCCUCGGCCGGAAAAAACCUCCUUAUCCUUCCAUGAUCCAUCUAUGAAAC